ensembl:lncRNA
GGUCUGCAAACCAAGAGGAGCCACCCAGAUGUGACCGUGGGGUCCACCCUGCAGCUUUUGGCCAAAAGAGAGGGACCAACGGAGAGUGGCUACACUUAUGCAAUGGAAAGAAGACGAGGGAAAGCUGGACCGAACGGAAGGAAAGAGGAGAGCUUUAUUUCAAGGAAACUGCUGCAAACCGGCGCUGAGGGAAAACCUGCCACUUUGAAAUAAGGUGAGAGCAUUUCUUUGGACAUGAUGUCACAGGAGAUGAGUCCCGCCGCUGGACUGCUGCCGCUGGACAAUCAUUCUCUCCCACCUGGACCACAGAGGGGCGGCGACAGAACCAGAGCAGUGGGCCGGGCCUGUGGUGCUACUCUGAGAAGAAGAAACCCGGCGCCUGGAAACAAAUGUUACGGCACGUGAUGCUUUGUUGUGUUCUGCUGCCGUGGCAACAGCGAAGAUCACAAG